rnacentral:lncRNA from 1 species
UUGCAGGAGGAUUUGAGGAAGGCAAAGAAGGCUGAAAUGUUACUCUCAAACAUCUGAAUGGAGAAUUUGAGUAGGGUUGAUCUUUCAUGUGCACCCAAAUAAAUUCUGGAAAAAUUAUCACACUUGUGCUUUCAAUUCUAGUCUGCAUAAUGAGAGUUGAAGACUAAUUUUUCAUUCGAACACAAGUGAAAUAGGUUCAGGAUUUUGAACAACUCAAGCUAGCAUUGGGAAUAAAAAUAUCACUACUAGUAGUUAAGGUC